rnacentral:rRNA from 1 species
ACUGAACGCUGGCGGCAGGCUUAACACAUGCAAGUCGAGCGGGGGAAGGUAGCUUGCUACAGGACCUAGCGGCGGACGGGUGAGUAAUGCUUAGGCAUCUGCCUAUUAGUGGGGGACAACAUCUCGAAAGGGAUGCUAAUACCGCAUACUCACUACGGGAGAAAGCAGGGGAUCUUCGGACCUUGCGCUAAUAGAUGAGCCUAAGUCGGAUUAGAUAGUUGGUGGGGUAAAGGCCUACCAAGGGGACGGUUUGUAGCGGGUCUGAGAGGAUGAGCCGACACACUGGGGCUGAGACACGGCCCAGACUCCUACGGGAGGCAGCAGUGGGGAAUAUUGGACAAUGGGGGGAACGCUGAUCCAGCCAUGCCGCGUGUGUGAAGAAGGCCUUAUGGUUGUAAAGCACUUUAAGCGAGGAGGAGGCUACUCUAGUUAAUACCUUGGGACAGUGGACGUUACUCGCAGAAUAAGCACCGGCUAACUCUGUGCCAGCCGCCGCGGUAA